GACGAACGCUGGCGGCGUGCUUAACACAUGCAAGUCGAACGGAAAGGCCCUGCUUGCAGGGUACUCGAGUGGCGAACGGGUGAGUAACACGUGGGUGAUCUGCCCUGCACUUCGGGAUAAGCUUGGGAAACUGGGUCUAAUACCGGAUAGGAGCCAUCUUUAGUGUGGUGGUUGGAAAGUUUUUUCGGUGUAGGAUGAGCUCGCGGCCUAUCAGCUUGUUGGUGGGGUAAUGGCCUACCAAGGCGGCGACGGGUAGCCGGCCUGAGAGGGUGUACGGCCACAUAGGGACUGAGAUACGGCCCAGACUCCUACGGGAGGCAGCAGUGGGGAAUAUUGCACAAUGGGCGCAAGCCUGAUGCAGCGACGCCGCGUGGGGGAUGAAGGCCUUCGGGUUGUAAACUCCUUUCGCUAGGGACGAAGCUUUUUUGUGACGGUACCUAGAGAAGAAGCACCGGCUAACUACGUG
rnacentral:rRNA from 1 species